rnacentral:rRNA from 1 species
GAUGAACGCUGGCGGCGUGCUUAACACAUGCAAGUCGAACGGGAAACCUUUUAUUGAAGCUUCGGCAGAUUUAGCUGGUUUCUAGUGGCGGACGGGUGAGUAACGCGUGGGUAACCUGCCUUAUACAGGGGGAUAACAGUCAGAAAUGGCUGCUAAUACCGCAUAAGCGCACAGAGCUGCAUGGCUCAGUGUGAAAAACUCCGGUGGUAUAAGAUGGACCCGCGUUGGAUUAGCUGGUUGGUGGGGUAACGGCCCACCAAGGCGACGAUCCAUAGCCGGCCUGAGAGGGUGAACGGCCACAUUGGGACUGAGACACGGCCCAGACUCCUACGGGAGGCAGCAGUGGGGAAUAUUGCACAAUGGGGGAAACCCUGAUGCAGCGACGCCGCGUGAAGGAAGAAGUAUCUCGGUAUGUAAACUUCUAUCAGCAGGGAAGAUAAUGACGGUACCUGACUAAGAAGCCCCGGCUAGCUACGUG